rnacentral:rRNA from 1 species
CCUACGGGAGGCAGCAGUGAGGAAUAUUGGACAAUGGGCGCAAGCCUGAUCCAGCCAUGCCGCGUGCAGGAUGACGGUCCUAUGGAUUGUAAACUGCUUUUGUACAGGAAGAAACAGUUCUACGUGUAGAACCUUGACGGUACUGUAAGAAUAAGGAUCGGCUAACUCCGUGCCAGCAGCCGCGGUAAUACGGAGGAUCCAAGCGUUAUCCGGAAUCAUUGGGUUUAAAGGGUCCGUAGGCGGUUUAGUAAGUCAGUGGUGAAAGCCCAUCGCUCAACGGUGGAACGGCCAUUGAUACUGCUAAACUUGAAUUAUUAGGAAGUAACUAGAAUAUGUAGUGUAGCGGUGAAAUGCUUAGAGAUUACAUGGAAUACCAAUUGCGAAGGCAAGGUUACUACUAAUUGAUUGGCGCUGAUGGACGAAAGCGUGGGUAGCGAACAGGAUUAGAUACCCUGGUAGUCCACGCCGUAAACGAUGGAUACUAGCUGUUGGAAGCAAUUUCAGUGGCUAAGCGAAAGUGAUAAGUAUCCACCUGGGGAGUACGUUCGCAAGAAUGAAACUCAAAUGAAUUGACCGGCGUGAGAGAGACGAGACGACACGAGGGAGGAGG